UUUUAGUAAAAUGAAAGCAGAAUUCCCUAUUGCCUCCCACCCAGAGGAGAUGAAGGGGAGAUGCCCAUGAAGAUGAACUCUGCCUCCUCUUUGGGAGCAUGGUGAAGGACUGCACAGAGCUGGCACUGCUGGGGCACCCCCUGCACUGGACACAGUUGUGAAUUGAGGAUGAAUAUCACUGAUAAAAUGGAGGUCAACAACUGAACGGCAUCUCGUGGAAAAGAUUCGGAGUCUAACUGGGAUUGGCACUUGAGUCAAUAUUACCUGCCUGCUUUGAAGAUGUCCUUCCACUGGAGGAGUCUGGGAGAAGGAAAUGGAAAAGGGUGGUGGAGGUCCUGAGAAAGGGGUCAUGAUGCCAUGAAAAAUCCUCUCCCUCUCGGCAACUGGAUGUCACAUCCUGAGGCUCACUCAGCUCAAAGGUGACCUCAAAACCAAACCUGUCUGAAGGUUUUCGUGGGGCUGGAAUCAGUGGAUGCUGAAGUAGCUCUUAGCUGUGCCAGGAGGCCUCUUAGCGACCAGCACUUAUACAGGCUCACACAUCUCCC
rnacentral:lncRNA from 1 species